AGAAUGAACGCUAGCGAUAUGCUUAACACAUGCAAGUUGAACGUUGUUUUCGAGUCAAAAUGAAAACAAAGUGGCGAACGGGUGCGUAACACGUGGGAAUCUGCCAAACAGUUUGGGCCAAAUCCUGAAUGAAUGAAAGCUAAAAAGCGCUGUUUGAUGAGCCCACGUAGUAUUAGGUAGUUGGUUAGGUAAAAGCUGACCAAGCCUACGAUGCUUAGCUGGUCUUUUCGGAUGAUCAGCCACACUGGGACUGAGACACGGCCCCAGACUCCUACGGGAGGCAGCAGUGGGGAAUCUUGGACAAUGGGCGAAAGCCUGAUCCAGCCAUGCCGCGUGAGUGAUGACGGCCUUAGGGUUGUAAAGCUCUUUCGCUAGGGACGAUAAUGACGGUACCUAGACAAGAAGCCCCGGCUAACUUCGUGCCAGCCAGGCCGC
rnacentral:rRNA from 1 species